AUGUUUUUUCUGAAGAGAGAUGUCAAGUUCAAAGGACACAGAGGUGUGUUGAUUACAACAGCUGCACUUAAUAAAAUAUCAGAGGAACACGAAAAGAGAACAAAAGAGUGUGUUUCGGUUUCACACCAAAAAGGUCUUUUUAUUCACCGACAAGUGCCAUUUGUGUGGGAAGUUGUUGUAGUUGCUGGAGGAGGAAAUGUGGGAACAGGCUGUCCCUGCUGCUGAUAAGGACGUACGGAACUUCCUACCUUCCACAUAUGGGACCGGGCCUUUAACUGGAAAGAGGUGCUGCCAGGGGUCAUUGCAAAUGUAAGAACAUCCGUCCUGUCUCCCCACAACCUGUUUGAGAAAUCUGACCUCGUCAUAGCGCAUUUUCUUUGUACUGUAGAAAUGAAAAAAGAGGAACAGAACUUCCUGUGGGAAAAAUAUAUUGUUUUUUUUUUUUUAUUGUAGACCUAUACAUGUGAUCUCAUUAGUAAUCCUAAGCAUAGACACUAAAUGUAAAAAAAUUUUUUUUUACAAAAUUUUACAACAUUUAAAACCAAACCAUUUUACUACUUUUAGGUUCACAGAAUAUUAUAUUUAUGGAAAUAAUGUAUUUUUUAAUAGGUGUUUAUUAAUAUGAUACGUCUGGUACUAUACUACACUAUACCACUUUAUUUGUGGUGAAUGAAUUUUUUCACCUAAAUUUUUAAUAUACCAUUAUAAUUGAUU
rnacentral:lncRNA from 1 species